rnacentral:tRNA from 1 species
GGAUUGUGGCUCAGCGUUAGGGUGCUUGCCUAGCAUGUGCAAGGCCCUGGGUUCGAUCCUCAGCACCA